rnacentral:tRNA from 1 species
AGGAUAGUAGUUAAGCAUAACAUUUGGGUUGCAUUCAAAAAGUAUUGAAUAUUCAAUCUAUCUU